rnacentral:sRNA from 1 species
AGUUUGAGGUUGCAACUUGUCCUCUCCUCUGAGGGUAGCCGCAAAUUAGUCCAGCAAAUUAGAGAACAGUGAACAGUAAUCAUCCAGUUGAAUAAACUAUAAUCUAAGUACAAGCUGACAGUUUUGAAAAAUGCAUGUUUUUUUAUUGUACCAGAUUGGCGGUGAUUUAUUAAAUGAUAUUACUAAAAUCACUCAUGGGCUACAUACAUGUUUUGAAUAAGUCUGCUUAGCUGUCAGGAUUAAUUAGAGUCAGUUUCUGGUUUUGCUCAAAUUAUCCAUUUCCAGCUCAUGACUUACCCCCAGUUCAGAUGGACCAGCUUUUGGGAAAUAUGAUUGAAAUGUGGGUUGAUCGAAUGGACAACAUUACCCAGCCUGAAAGAAGAAAACUUUCAGCUUUGGCUUUGCUCUCUCUUCUGCCAUCUGAUAAUAGUGUUAUCCAAGAUAAAUUCUGUGGGAUUAUAAACAUUUCAGUGGAAGGCCUGCAUGAUGUCAUGACGGAAGAUC